GGGGGACGCUGGAGCGAAAUCGCCGCGGCCUGACGGAAUAGGCCGUAGAAGGGAAGUAGGCAAUACCUCGGAUAGGCAAAUCCGUCCGAGGGCUGACACCCGACCGUACCGCGACCCUUUCGGGGGAGCGGAUAGUGCGACGAUAGCAUACAGCCAAGAAAAGCCUCUAACCGUUAAUCUCCAAGGUAGCCCGUACCGGAAACCGACACAGGUGGGCGAGGAGAAUAUCCAAAGGUCCUCGAGUGAUUCGCGGCUAAGGAACUCGGCCAAUUAGCCCCGUAACUUCGGGAGAAGGGGUGCCUCUCUUCGGAGAGGCCGCAGUUAAGAGGCCCAAGCGACUGUUUAACAAAAACACAGGGCUCUGCUAAGCCGAAAGGCUAUGUAUAGGGCCUGAGGCCUGCCCGGUGCCGGACGGUUAAGGGGAGGGGUGCAAGCCCCAAACCGAAGCCCCGGUAAACGGCGGCCGUAACUCUGACGGUCCUAAGGUAGCGAAAUUCCUUGUCGGGUAAGUUCCGACCUGCACGAAUGGCAUAACGACUUGGGCACUGUCUCGGCCGCGAGCUCGGUGAAAUUGUAGUACCGGUGAAGAUGCCGGUUACCCGCGACGGGACGAAAAGACCCCGUGAACCUUCACUACAACUUGGUAUUGGCCGCGUGCAUUGGAUGCGUAGCAUAGGUGGGAGGCUGAGAAGCCCUGGCUCCGGUCAGGGUGGAGCCGCCAGUGAAAUACCACCCUUCUGGUGUAUGCGGCCUAACCCUGCCCAGCAGGGGACAGUGCCUGGUGGGUAGUUUGACUGGGGUGGUCGCCUCCAAAAACGUAUCGGAGGCUCCCAAAGGUACCCUCAGCACGCUUGGCAACCGUGCGUAGAGUGCAAUGGCACAAGGGUGCUUGACUGCGAGACCGACGGGUCGAGCAGAGGCGAAAGCCGGGCAUAGUGAUCCGGUGGUUCCUCAAGGGAGGGCCAUCGCUCAAAGGAUAAAAGGUACUCCGGGGAUAACAGGCUGAUCUCCCCCGAGAGCCCCCAUCGACGGGGAGGUUUGGCACCUCGAUGUCGGCUCGUCACAUCCUGGGGCUGCAGGCGGUCCCAAGGGUUGGGCUGUUCGCCCAUUAAAGUGGCACGUGAGCUGGGUUCAGAACGUCGCAAGACAGUUCGGUCUCUAUCUGUCGCGGGCGUAGGACGCUUGAGGGGACCCGCCCUUAGUACGAGAGGACCGGGGUGGACGCACCGCUGGCGUACCAGCUGUUCCGCCAGGAGCACCGCUGGGUAGCUAUGUGCGGACGAGAUAAGCGCUGAAAGCAUCUAAGCGCGAAGCUCACCCCAAGAUGAGGCGUCCCUUAAGGGCCGUGGGAGACUACCACGUCGAUAGGCGGCAGGUGUAAGCAGGGUA
rnacentral:rRNA from 1 species